CUUCAGCGGUGUUGACAAACUGUUCUACUGUUAACACAUAAUCUUUGAGAUGCUUCGGUUUCGAAAUCGUUGACCUAUCUCUCAAUCUUCUUUCUGUUGGUAAUUUUGAGUUUUCUUCUUUUUCUGAAUCGGACUCAUUUCCAGUUUCAUACUCUUCUUCGCUGCUCAGAGUUUCUUCAGAGCCAAAUGUCUUCUUAGUCUUCAAUAAUGAAAAUCUUCUUUCUUCAAUGUAGUCCUCACCAUCGUUCUCGACAUCUCUCAUUGGUAGUUUGACUUCUUCUUCACAUUCUUUUGGCUUCUCUUGAAAUUGGACGUCUCUUGACAAAAUUACCUUGUGUUCUUCCUGAACGUAAUAUAGAUUCUGUAUCGCUCGUCCUGAUCGUAUCCUACAAGGAAUCCUUUCACUGCUUUAGCCAAAAAACGACGAUAAUAAUUGAGGAGUGCCAAGAAUCGGCGCAACUCAUGAGCUACUGUCGGCUUUUUGAACUGACAAAUGGCCUCGGUUUUGGCCUUAGGAGGCGCGACGCCAUCUGCCGUAAUCGUGUGACCGAGAAAAAUUAUUUUGGGCUGGCCGGGGGUGCAUUUGGCGAGAUUAAUCUUCAAAUUGUAAGCGCUUAAUCUCUCGAAAACUAUGCGAAGAUGCUUCCGGUGUUCGGUUUCGUUAACCGAAGCCACGCAAAUAUCGUCUAUGUAGACGAAAACGAAAUCCAAAUUCAUGAACAGCUUGUUUAUGAACCUUUGGAAUGUUUGAGAAGCAUUUCUGAGACCGAAUGUCAUGACGUUAAAUUCAUUUAGGCCAAAUGGGGUGAUUAUGGCCGUUUUUUCCUUGUCAGACCUAUCAAUUGGAAUUUGGUUGUAAGCACUAACCAAAUCGAUGAUCGAGAAAAUUUUGCAUCCAGCAAACUUUUGUGUAAAGUCAUGGAUAUGAGGCAAGGGAUAGCGAUCUGGUACUGUAAUGGCAUUGAGACGCCGAUAGUCACCGCAGAAUCGCCAGCGCCCAUCUUUUUUGGGAACCAUGUGUAAUGGACUUGCCCAUGCACUUUUGCUUGGACUGCAGAUGCCAGCAUUGAGCAUGGCUUCGAAUUCUGUUUUGGCCAUUUUAAGUCGCUUCGGGUUGAGACGACGUGCUGCCGAAAAUAUGGGCUGACCCGUGGUAAUGAUUUGAUGAGUAAUGUCAUGAGAUGGACUGAAUCCAUAUUGCUAAAAGUCGGUGGAAGCGUCAGAGCCUUGAAUUCGCUAAUGAGAUCAGCCAUAUUGUUAUUCCCGACAUUGAUGGUAGAUAAACGUUCAUAUGGAGUCAUAAUGGAAUUGCAUUUAACCACCAGUUGGGUUUCCGAUGAUUGCCUUAUCUACAUCGGCAAUUAUGAAUGGCCACGUGAAAUUGCGCCUGAGGCCAAUGUUCAGGCUAAGCUGAUGUUGGCCGAAAGUCUUAAUGGGAGUGCCGUUUGCGGCAAAUAAACGAUUUGAGGACGGACCGGCCGAUUUGUUACCGAAAAUACGCGGUAGAUUUGAGAUAUCGGAGCCGGUGUCAAUGAGAAAAUUCCUGCAGGUAAUGAACAAUCGAUGACAGGUCAUGACUUCCGCUUCGUCCUUCGUCCCUAAGGAAGCGGCUUUUAGUUUUCCCGUCUUUUAUCAUUAAAUUUGCACGGGGGAACACAUUUGAGUGCUGCGCCACCGAACUUGUAGUGGUAUCGACAAAACGGUUUGGCAUUACCGUUGUCGCCGGAGCUUGAACGUGCAUUUUGGUUGUUGCCACUUCGUGAUCGUGACCGUGAAUGAUCACCGGGGGUGGUCAACUGGGUUGCCAAAUUAGCAACUGCCUGUGUCAAAGCUUUAAUAUUGUUGAGGAUUUCCUCAAAUUGUUCAUUUUUAUGUGGUGCACCAGCUUUCACUGCCAUGACUUGUGAGGAUGUGGAUCCAACAAAGUCCAUGAUCGUAUCGGCGCGUUUGGCGUAUAUGUCUAAAUCUUCAUCACCAAUUAUCAAGCAAGCUCGAAGUGUAACAGGCAAUGUUUCAAUCCACCAGCUUUUUAAAAUUGUUUCCGAAACUGAGCUUCCGGCCAGGUCACGCAUGUGGCGCAAAAGCUGAGAUGGUUUACGGUCACCAAGCUCAACGUCAUUAAGUAAUUUCCGAAUUUUUUUCGAUUCGGAGUCCGCGAACUCCGCGAUAAUUCUAUUUUUGAGACACUCGUAUUUGUCCGUUUCGGGAGGAUUGCGAAGAAAAUCAGUUCAAGAAUUUGCGCGUCCAAUGCGCCGACCACGUGGUCGUAUUUUGUAUCAUCGCGAGAAAUGUUAGCACGUCGAAAAGACGUCUCUAUUUGAAUGAAAAAUAUAUGAGGGUUACUUUUCAAGAAAACGGGUGGUUUAACCGCAAUAUGACUACUUUGUAGAGGCUGAUCGAAGAAGGUACUCACAUUUUCGCGAAAUUCUUGUUGUAGUUGCCGUUGAGAAGCUCCUGAUGAGGUUCCAGGUGUGCAGUCUCCUUGGAUCAUUCUGGUAAAUAUUGAUUGUAGGUUCCGUUGAAUGGCUUCCAAAUCCUCGAUUGGUAUUUGCUCUCUUGGUCGUAGAUAAGGCUUCUCGUUGUUUGAUGAUAUUCUCAUUUGAAAAAGUACUGCAUCCAGAAUGUUGUAUUUGCACUUUGAAUUACGUUUAAAGUUGCAUUAAUAGUACACUUGUUUGUAUGGUUGCAUAGAAUUGUGAGUUAAAUGCGGAAGGUAAUUCCUACGACCCGCGUUGCAUCAAUAAAAACCCCUUUCAAAUGUUUGUGUUAAAUUUCGCCGUUAAGUUCCGAACUUUGGUGUAGUACCACAAGCCUUGGUUACACGUGGUGGAAUGUGCGGUUAUGUUAGUACGCAGGUGCAGGUGAAAUUUAAGUUAUGGUCGAUGCACGCUCGCCGUAUUAGAAAUGUCCACAAUUUUCUCGGAAAACACUUUUGUAUGAAAAUGUUCUUUGUUCGGGGUCACCGAUUUGGGUUUUUCUAAUUUAUACGGCGCUUCCAGAUUCUAAUUGCUGCCGUUUGUAAUCGCUCCUACACCGACUCUACGUUCUUGCACUUUUCUAACCCUUCAACUCCAACUCGAAGCAAUUUAAACAGCCAUUCAUAUAUUGCGACCAAUCUAUGCGGCGCAGAACUUUUAUUUUAGUUUCAAUUGUUUUCCUCUUAUUUUUAGUUAUCAGUUAUUAAAAACAUUCGUUGCGAAAAAAGAAGCUCUUAUCAAGACCCAAACCGAAAAAGUAAUAAUUCAAAACAAAAAUACUCAAGCAACGUAUACACGCUGCUUUUGUUGUAUCAACAAUCCUUACGCCCAGCACACACGCUGCGAUUGUUGUAUCAACGCUUUGUACAGUGCGUACAAGCAAUUGCAGGCAAUGUCCCACAUAUUAAAUUAUAUUAACAGCGAAAUUAUUAUUGUAAGGGAGAUAUUAUUGCAUAUUAGUAGAACUAUUAUUAUUAGCUGAAUUGGGGUAGGAAUUUAUAUUUCUCUAACUAUUAAAUUGCUGUCUUGGUGGAGAUAAAUUUUGUUUUGUUUGUUGUAGAAAAAUCUUUUUCUUAAUUUUGGUGUUUCACCGACGUACGUUCACUCUGUGAAUUCCGAAUGGUAGUCACGCACCAACCCAUUCGACUACGGCGGCUGCCGAUUGUACAUAUAUUACUAAUCUAUAAUAUAAAACUGAAUCGUAAAAUGUGUUGGUAAACUUAUAACUCAACAACGCAUGGACUAAUCUUAACAUUUUUUUUUUAAAUGUUCCUUGAAGUCCAAGGAUGGUUUGUACGGCGAGAAAAAUUCGAAUAAUUUCCGGGAAAACCCUAAAACAGCCCUUUUCUUUUUCCCAUACAAAUAUUGCGCGUUCGUGUGUGUGCGUGUUCGCGUUGGAGGAUCUAAUGCGUUGACACAAAAGUGAUAAUAUUCUUUCUUUUGUUUUAGUUUCAGAACGAUUUAAGGAACGAUUUCAUUCACAAACCUAUAAUAUAAAGAGGAAUUGCAAAAUGUGUUGGUUCCUUGAAGUCCCAGGAUGACUUUUACGGAAAAUAAUUUCCGGGAAACCCCUAAAACAGCCCUUUUCUUUUUCCUAUAUAAAUAUGGCGCGUUCGUGUGUGUGCGUGUUCGCGUUGGAGGAUCUAAUGCACAAAUCACACAAAAGUGAUAAUAUCGUCAACUCGACCAAAUUGAAAAGUCAAAAAAUGUAAGAGCUAUAGAUUUGAUUAGCCUCGCAAUAUUCUUUCUUUUGUUUUAGUUUCAGAACGAGUUAAGGAAUAAUUUCAUUCACAAAUAAUAAAUAGUUAAGUAAAUUCUAAGAAUAAUCAUGCAGUGCUGAACAAAUCCAAACAUAUUUUAAGAAUACCAAACGAUAAACAUACAUAUGUAUUUUAAGAAUAACAAAAGACAAACAUAUUUUAAGAAGAAGAAGAUAAACAUAUGUUAAGGAUAACAAAAGACAAACAUUAUUAAUUAAUCUAAAAAAACCUAUGUUUUUCACAUGGUCAAUUGUAUGUUGCCUGUUCCCGUGUUGGAAAACCAUCAGAUUUGUUUGUAUAUACACCAGGUAAUCAAACAAAAACAUUGUAUAUCAUAAAGCGCUACAAUAAAAAUAAAACAGAUUUUUGUUAAUAA